GACGAACGCUGGCGGCGUGCUUAACACAUGCAAGUCGAACGGAAAGGCCCUGCUUUUGUGGGGUGCUCGAGUGGCGAACGGGUGAGUAACACGUGAGUAACCUGCCCUUGACUUUGGGAUAACUUCAGGAAACUGGGGCUAAUACCGGAUAGGAGCUCCUGCUGCAUGGUGGGGGUUGGAAAGUUUCGGCGGUUGGGGAUGGACUCGCGGCUUAUCAGCUUGUUGGUGGGGUAGUGGCUUACCAAGGCUUUGACGGGUAGCCGGCCUGAGAGGGUGACCGGCCCCAUGGGGACUGAGAGAGGGCCCAGACUCCUACGGGAGGCAGCAGUGGGGAGUAUUGCACAGUGGGCGGAAGCCUGAGGCAGCAACGCCGCGUGCGGGAUGACGGCCUUCGGGUUGUAAACCGCUUUCGCCUGCGACGAAGCGUGAGUGACGGUAAUGGGUAAAGAAGCACCGGCUAACUACGUG
rnacentral:rRNA from 1 species